rnacentral:rRNA from 1 species
UACGUAGGGGGCUAGCGUUGUCCGGAAUCAUUGGGCGUAAAGAGCGUGUAGGCGGCCCGGUAAGUCCGCUGUAAAAGUCAAAGGCUCAACCUUUGAAUGUCAGUGGAUACUGCCGGGCUAGAGUCCGGAAGAGGCGAGUGGAACUCCUGGUGUAGCGGUGGAAUGCGCAGAUAUCAGGAGGAACACCGGUGGCGAAGGCGGUUCUCUGGGCCUGUACUGACGCUGAGGCGCGAAAGCCAGGGGAGCGAACGGG